ACAGAAGGUCGACCGGCAGUGGAUGUCGGACGGCACUGGAGAGGUUCACCCACUGGAGGGGUUCGACUGUUGGAGCUCGUGCGUCGUAGGAGUUCGUCCGAAAUUUGUCCGCUACAGAAGUUUGAUCGGAGUCUGGUUCCCAUAGAAGUCCGGAUGGAGAUCAUUUAUUGAGGAAGCUCGACCGAAGUCUGCCUGCAAUAGAAGUCCGGAAGAAAUUCGUUCACAAGGAAAGCUUGGGUGGAGGCUUACAGUAGAAAUC
rnacentral:lncRNA from 1 species